rnacentral:rRNA from 1 species
AUGUUGCAUGGAUACUUGGAUACGUAUCGUAUACGCGAUAAGAUACGUUCGAUACACCUAUUUUCUAAACAUUUGGAUAGGGGGAUAUGUUUCUAUAUACAUAUUAAUUAUUUUCAAACAGGAAAAAGUAAUGAUUUUUUGGUAGGAAACGUACUGUUUUAUUUAACUCUUCAUAGUUUCUUAACAAAUACUGUAUUUCUUUGUUUAAUUUAUUCUUCCUUCUGGACGAUGUCGAUGAUUCGACAUAAUUGCUUAACAAAUAUGGUAACCACAUUCACAAUUCUCACAUCAGAUUCACACACACAUAGUCGAAUUGAUAGAUAA